AUUGAACGCUGGUGGCAUGCUUUACACAUGCAAGUCGAACGGUAACAGGCCGCAAGGUGCUGACGAGUGGCGAACGGGUGAGUAAUGCAUCGGAACGUGCCCAGUCGUGGGGGAUAACGCAGCGAAAGCUGCGCUAAUACCGCAUACGAUCUAUGGAUGAAAGCGGGGGACCGUAAGGCCUCGCGCGAUUGGAGCGGCCGAUGUCAGAUUAGGUAGUUGGUGGGGUAAAGGCUCACCAAGCCAACGAUCUGUAGCUGGUCUGAGAGGACGACCAGCCACACUGGGACUGAGACACGGCCCAGACUCCUACGGGAGGCAGCAGUGGGGAAUUUUGGACAAUGGGCGCAAGCCUGAUCCAGCAAUGCCGCGUGCAGGAAGAAGGCCUUCGGGUUGUAAACUGCUUUUGUACGGAACGAAAUCCUUCAACUUAAUACGUUGGGGGGAUGACGGUACCGGAAGAAUAAGCACCGGCUAACUUCGUGCCAGCCGCCGCCGUAACAC
rnacentral:rRNA from 1 species